CGGAGGGUGCGAGCGUUGCUCGGAAUCACUGGGCGUAAAGCGUACGCAGGCUGUCGUACAAGUCGGGUGUGAAAGCCCGGGGCUCAACCCCGGAAUUGCGCCCGAGACUGUAUGACUUGAAUGCGGGAGAGGGAAGCGGAAUUCCUGGUGUAGAGGUGAAAUUCGUAGAUAUCAGGAGGAACACCAGUGGCGAAAGCGGCUUCCUGGCCCGACAUUGACGCUCAUGUACGAAAGCGCGGGGAGCAAACAGGAUUAGAUACCCUGGUAGUCCGCGCCGUAAACGAUGAGUGCUAGCUGCUGGGAAUGUUUACCGUCUCAGUGGCGAAGCCAACGCAUUAAGCACUCCGCCUGGGAAGUACGGCCGCAAGGCUA
rnacentral:rRNA from 1 species